rnacentral:rRNA from 1 species
GACGAACGCUGGCGGCGUGCUUAACACAUGCAAGUCGAACGGAAAGGCCCUGCUUUUGUGGGGUGCUCGAGUGGCGAACGGGUGAGUAACACGUGAGUAACCUGCCCUUGACUUUGGGAUAACUUCAGGAAACUGGGGCUAAUACCGGAUAGGAGCUCCUGCUGCAUGGUGGGGGUUGGAAAGUUUCGGCGGUUGGGGAUGGACUCGCGGCUUAUCAGCUUGUUGGUGGGGUAGUGGCUUACCAAGGCUUUGACGGGUAGCCGGCCUGAGAGGGUGACCGGCCACAUUGGGACUGAGAUACGGCCCAGACUCCUACGGGAGGCAGCGGUGGGGAAUAUUGCACAAUGGGCGGAAGCCUGAUGCAGAAACGCCGCGUGCGGGAUGACGGCCUUCGGGUUGUAAACCGCUUUCGACUGUGACGAAGCGUGAGUGACGGUAAUGGGUAAAGAAGCACCGGCUAACUACGUG